CCUACGGGAGGCAGCAGUGGGGAAUUUUGCGCAAUGGGGGAAACCCUGACGCAGCAACGCCGCGUGGAGGAUGAAGUCUCUUGGGACGUAAACUCCUUUCGAUAGGGACGAUAAUGACGGUACCUAUAGAAGAAGCCCCGGCUCACUUCGUGCCAGCAGCCGCGGUAAU
rnacentral:rRNA from 1 species